rnacentral:rRNA from 1 species
GGAGGUAGUGACAAUAAAUCACAAUGCGGGACUCAUAGUCUUGCAAUUGGAUUGAGAACAACGUACAACUCUUAUCGAUAAGCCAUUGGAGGGCAGGUCUGGUGCCAGCAGCCGCGGUAAUUCCAGCUCCAAUAGCGUAUAUUAACGUUGUUGCAGUUAAAAAGCUCGUAGUUGAAGUGAGGGAGUGUGUAGUAGGACCGACUUGAUCGGAACUGCUGCAACCUCCCCCCUCCAAUCGGUGUAGUGGGGUAUUCAGUUAUUCUACUACUCCUUUGGUCGUUUACUGUGAGAAAAUUAGAGUGUUCAAAGCGGGCGAUUGUUUGAAUAGAUUAGCAUGGAAUAAUGAUUGAAGGCUUUCGUGUUCGAUUUGAUUGGUUUGUUCAUGGAAGCAAGGUUGAAAGGAACAGUUGGGGGUAUUCAUAUUCACUAGUUAGAGGUGAAAUUCUCGGAUUUAUGGAAGAUGAACAAGUGCGAAAGCA